UGCCAAGCCACAGAAGAAGCUUAGCUGAGGAGGCGGCAGUGAGGACAGUGAGACAUGGAGAUAAAACUCAGAAUGGUGUGGAUUUGGAUGGAUGAGAAGUUGGGGAGAAUGAGAAAAAUCCUAGGAGAUUUCAAUACUACAGAUAAAGAAAAAAAGUAUCAUUAAAGUUGAGAUGGUUCCAUGAGCAAAUUAUUCAAUUAUGUGGAUCUGAGUUCAAAUUCCCUGGACCCACAUAAAAAGCAUUGCUUAGCAGUGCCCUUCUUAUAAUCCUAGGAUUGGAGAAGCAAGUUAGGAGGAUCACUGGAGCUCACUGGCUGUUAGUCUAGACAAUUGUUCAAUAAAAGACUGUCUCAAUAAAUAAGAUGAUCAUGGAAUAUACCUAA